AGAGUUUGAUCAUGGCUCAGAACGAACGCUGGCGGCAGGCUUAACACAUGCAAGUCGAGCGCUGUAGCAAUACAGAGCGGCGCACGGGAGAGUAAUACAUGGGAACCUACCUUUUGGUUCGGAAUAACGUCGGGAAACUGACGCUAAUACCGGAUACGUCCUUCGGGAGAAAGAUUUAUCGCCGAUAGAUGGGCCCAUGUUGGAUUAGCUAGUUGGUGAGGUAAUGGCUCACCAGGGCUACGAUCCAUAGCUGGUCUGAGAGGAUGAUCAGCCUCACUGGGACUGAGACACGGCCCAGACUCCUACGGGAGGCAGCAGUGGGGAAUAUUGGACAAUGGGCGCAAGCCUGAUCCAGCCAUGCCGCGUGAGUGAUGAAGGCCUUCGGGUUGUAAAGCUCUUUUGGCAGGGACGAUGAUGACGGUACCUGCAGAAUAAGCUCCGGCUAACUUCGUGCCAGCAGCCGCGGUAAUACGAAGGGAGCUAGCGUUGUUCGGAAUUACUGGGCGUAAAGGGCGCGUAGGUGGCUUGGCAAGUUGGGUGUGAAAGCCCAGGGCUCAACCCUGGAAUUGCACUCAAGACUGCCUUGCUUGAAUUCGGUAGAGGUUGGUGGAAUUCCCAGUGUAGAGGUGAAAUUCGUAGAGAUUGGGAAGAACACCCGUGGCGAAGGCGGCCAACUGGACCGACAUUGACACUGAGGCGCGAAAGCGUGGGGAUCAAACAGGAUUAGAUACCCCGGUAGUCC
rnacentral:rRNA from 1 species